GUAUGCUAAUAAUGAAAAUGUAUGUAUGUUUGUUUUGUUUUUUUUUUUUUCUUAAAAAUUCGUCGUCGAAAUCAAGGACAAAGCACGUAUAUCCCGUGCGCGUACUGUGACGCGGUGAUAGUCUGGCGCGCGCGUGAAUCCGCGAGAGUUUAUCACGUGUCGUCGCCGCCGAGGACCGGCCGCAUGGCAAUAACCGUCGUCCGGCGGAUACGCGGGUAGGUCGGUCGAAAAACGUAUAGAACCGAACGUCACCAGACGUUCACGGGGAAAAAUCGCGAGGCGUUUGGACGCGGUCGCCGACACGUUGAUAAGACCGACGGGGAAAAGGCCGGAUUUCGAAACGUCCGUUUUUUGGCGCGAGCGCCGGCGUGUAAACAGAUACGGGGCGCGUUGCCGGCACACCGUGU